GCCUCCUUGGCUCAGUUGGCUAGAGCGCCAGUCUCAUAAUCUGGAGGUCGCAAGUUCGAGCCUUGCAGGGGGCA
rnacentral:tRNA from 1 species